ACAGAUGCGCCACCAGCCUGCAAUUUCUCCGACAGGGAUUCCAAUGAACAGAGCCCCCAUAAGUCCAAUACAGUUUGCAAUCUGGAUGCAGCUUCCAUAAGUGCCCCUUAUAAAAGCAGGAGAAACCUCUGUCACAUAAAGAGAUGCUACAGGGGGACCAACACCCAGUCCGAUCCCUACUAAUAACCUUCCAAAAAGCAUACCAGCCAAAGUUGUUGCUGUUGCACUUACAGAAGCACCAAUAACCAUGGGCAAAGCACACAACUGAAAAGCCCGACGGCGCCCAAACCCAUCCGCAAUCCAUCCACUAAACAGGGAUCCAAUUAAGGCACCACCCAAACAUGUGCUAACCACCAGGCCUUCUGCCAAGGUAUUUCCAUUGAAUCCAAGAUCCAAUGAGAUGCUUUCAAGUGGUUCAUUUACAACACCAAUAUGGUAGCCAAAUAAGAAGGAUGUUAUGGUUGCCACCAGUAUAUGUGGAAAAGAAAGCCUCCAUGAAGGAUUCGAAGCUUCUGGAUCCUGAUCAUUCUGUACAAGAGCUGAAUUAUCUUCUACAUCAACUAUAUUUGUAUAAUCUCUUGACGGCAUUCGUUUGUACAUUGAGUUUGCCUCACGCUGUCGUCCCCACAUGCCCAAAAAGCAGCAAGCCGUGCGAAGAGGCUGCAGCAUCCAAUCAAUUAUUGGUGCACAGCAACAAGGAAAGCAGAAUUGAUAAACCUCGAUUACGUUUCGACGAUCCAGCCAAAUACUUUAUUGUUCUUUUUCUCUUUCUUUUUUUGACAGGACGAACCUUCCCGAGAAAGAUUUUGAAGCAAGCUUAAUUAUAUGCAG
rnacentral:misc_RNA from 1 species